GGGCCCGCACAAGCGGUGGAGCAUGUGGUUUAAUUCGAUGCAACGCGAAGAACCUUACCUACUCUUGACAUCCACGGAAUUUGGCAGAGAUGCCUUAGUGCCUUCGGGAACCGUGAGACAGGUGCUGCAUGGCUGUCGUCAGCUCGUGUUGUGAAAUGUUGGGUUAAGUCCCGCAACGAGCGCAACCCUUAUCCUUUGUUGCCAGCGGUCCGGCCGGGAACUCAAAGGAGACUGCCAGUGAUAAACUGGAGGAAGGUGGGG
rnacentral:rRNA from 1 species